UUGAAUUCUAGAGCUCCUGAACUCCUACCAAUAGAAAUCGAGGGUUUCCGAUUUAUGUGCCAAUUCUUCGGGCACACCAAAUACCAGUGGUGAAGUCAUCCCUACACGCCCAGAACAUAACCUGUCACUCAUCUCUUCCAUCCUAAUACUAAAUCUCAUAGAAACCCUGAGAAACCCUACUAAAACUCUAAAGAAAAAUGGUUAAAAAAAAGCCGAGAUAUACAACCUUCUCCAACACCAUCACUGACAACAGAUGAAGCCUGUCAUAAUCGUUAUUUGCGUACAAACAUAAUCAGAAAUAAACGCCAGGUCCCAAUGUAUCUGUUAUCUAUCAAUCAAGUUCACAGGUUACCAUCUUCAUUGUCUACCGCACGCAAUAGUACCAUUGUCACCACUACCUGGGGCCAAGGCCACCUCAAUCACCUUCAUUUGAGAUCUUGGCGUGUGCUUUUAGAAGAUGAUGAGGAUACUCAAGAAGAUAAUGAAAUGGCAGUUGACAUAGAUGAAAAAAGAAGAUGACGAGGAUGAAAAAUAUGAUGAAGAUGAUCAAAAUGUUUGAGUAGAGUGCCUACGAUCCUCUUGGUAAUUUGGGUAGGAUUACUUUAUUAUUAGUUUCAUUUUUAGCUAUUCUUUCUUAGUAAUUUGGGUAGUUUGAUUCUUAAUGAUUCUUUCUGAGUUGAUUUCAGUAAAAUUACUUUCUUAUUGAUUUGAUUCUUAAUGAUUAUUUUGAGAAACUUGAUUAUUUUCAGUACUUUUGAUUAAAUAUCAA